rnacentral:tRNA from 1 species
GGAAGAGAGGCGAAUGCCGGUUCGUCGCGCUCGUCUCGAAAACGAGUCCGGGCUCACGGUCCGGCGGGGGUUCGACUCCCUCCUCUUCCU